rnacentral:rRNA from 1 species
GACGAACGCUGGCGGCGUGCCUAAUACAUGCAAGUCGAGCGAAGCGGCGGAUGGGUGAGUAACGCGUGGGUAACCUGCCCUUAAGUCUGGGAUACCAUUUGGACACAGAUGCUAAUACCGGAUACUAACGGAUGGACCUGCGAUGCAUUAGCUAGUUGGUAAGGUAACGGCUUACCAAGGCGAUGAUGCAUAGCCGAGGUGAUGGACGGUUCGUCCACAGUGGGACGGAUACACGGCCCAAACUCCUACGGGAGGCAGCAGUAGGGAAUCUUCCACAAUGGACGAAAGUCUGAUUGAGCAACGCCGCGUGAUUGAAGAAGGUUUUCGGAUCGUAAAGCUCUUGUGUGGGUGAAGCGGUAAUCAACCAGAAAGGCACGGCUAACUACGUGCCAGCAGCCGCGGUAAUAC